rnacentral:rRNA from 1 species
UACAGAGGGUGCAAGCGUUAAUCGGAAUUACUGGGCGUAAAGCGUGCGUAGACGGUUACAUAAGUCGGGUGUGAGAGCCCCGGGCUCAACCUGGGAAUUGCAUUCGAGACUGCGUAGCUAGGGUGCGGAAGAGGGAAGCGGAAUUUCCGGUGUAGCGGUGAAAUGCGUAGAUAUCGGAAGGAACACCAGUGGCGAAAGCGGCUUCCUGGUCCAGCACCGACGUUCAGGCACGAAAGCGUGGGGAGCAAACAGG